UGUAGUUUCGAUUUUCAUGUUGGUGAUCUGUUGAUAAAAGUGAGUUACACGGUCAGAUGGUCUGACUUUAUUCAAAUACCUUAGGCUGCUUAUUGGCUUUCGUUGUUUCUUUCCGUGCUGUGUGUGAGAUGAAAUGAGGUCCAAAGAAAAAACAGCUGUGCUAAACCAAAGUCUCAACCUGGACUCUGAUGUAAAAACACUGAAAAGAUGUUUCUCAUGGCCACCCUUCAGGCAAAG